CAACAUGCUAAUAUAAAUAACAGCAGUGUGCAUGCAACACCGGAGAGAAUGAGUGCACUUUGAGAGAAGAAGGAAACUGCACAGAGACCACGAGGGGACUGGGACUGUCCUGUAAAACAGGCCUAAAUGCCCCGUAAUUCUCUGCCCCUGGCUGCCUGGUAAAGAAAAUGGGAGGUAAAGGAAGCAAACCCUCCCCCCCCCCGUAACACACAUACACUCACAUACACUGAAACCUGAGCCACAGGAAGUCGUC